rnacentral:rRNA from 1 species
UACGGAGGGUGCAAGCGUUAAUCGGAAUUACUGGGCGUAAAGCGCGCGUAGGCGGCUUGAUAAGUCGAUUGUGAAAGCCCCGGGCUCAACCUGGGAAUUGCAGUCGAGACUGUUCGGCUAGAGUGUGGGAGAGGGCAGUGGAAUUCCCGGUGUAGCGGUGAAAUGCGUAGAUAUCGGGAGGAACAUCAGUGGCGAAGGCGACUACCUGGACCAGCACUGACACUGAGGCACGAAAGCGUGGGGAGCAAACAGG